rnacentral:lncRNA from 10 species
CUCAAAUUAACCAUAGGUUAUAAAAUGAUCUUGAAAAGAAAAACAGAAAAUCACCUUACAAAGCAUCAUUGUGGGGAAACGACACAUUCUCUCAAGCUAAUCGUCCAAAUAAAGGUCUUCUGCCACAGCCUUGGAGGAAGUCAUCUCCCUGGCCACAGUAGCCCUCUCUUGAAUUAUUCUCCCCGCCCUAGAGUAUAUGCUUCUAACAGCUGCAGGAGGUGAUAUGUUAAAAUUUUCUGAGGAUAUGUUGGUUGGGGAGAGAUUGAUGAGUUUUUUCUGUUGAGCGCUUGAGUAAGAUAUCAUGGGAUGAACAAUUGGGUAAACGUUGUUCUGGCCUCUCUCUGCUUCUCACUGCACUUAGAAUAAAAUAAACACUCCUUACCAUCACCAUUGGCCUUGGCAACAUGGAGCUCAUUAGAAGCUCCUAUGAGACAUUUUAGUGGAGUUGUGCGAGUGGGCAGCAGCAUGCUGAGGGUAGAGGAGCUAAUAGCAGUUAUAAGUUGUGGCUAACAAGUCAUUACUUCAGAAAGCCGGAUAUGAAAAGGAGGAGAGAGAUAGGAGGCAACAAGAGAGGUUGUAGGGGUUAAGGCAGUGGGUUUUUUUGAAAAGACCUAAAGACGUAAGCAAACUUAAGUAGAGAAGGAGAAAGAAUAGGAAAACUUCACACAUGAGGACAAGGAGAUGAUUGAGUAAUGUCACUGAGGGGGCAAGAAGUGGUGAGUGAUUUAGUCUUAGGCUCUGCAAUAGCUAUCUCUUGUUAUGUAACAAAUUACCUGAAAAUUAAGCAGUUUAAAACAAUAUUAUCUCACACAAUUUCUGGAGAUCAGGAAUCUGGGAGGUGCUUAGUUGGGCUGUUGUGGCUCAGGAGCUCUUGGGAGGUUGCAGUCAGGCUGUUGGCUGAGUUACGGUCUCUGAAAACUGGGCUGGAGCCAGAGCAUCUGCUUGCAAGCUGUUGGCAAGAAGCUUCCUCACCCCACGGGCAGAGCUCCCCAUAAGGGCUGCUUAUGAGAAGGUUUAACCUAGAGCACGUGACUCAAGAGACAGUGAGAGAGCCA